AUCGUUCAUCUUCUUCAUCCCUUUAACUCUCUCCCUUGUUCUCAUCCUUCUGAGAAACCUUGAUUGACGCACGAGUGAAGCAAAAUUCAUAGAGAUUUAGCGAUACUUUGUUGAUUGUAAAAGGGUGUUGAUCUUGCAUUGAAACAUGUGUGGCCUAAAGCAAAGAGAAGGUACUGUUGUAGACACUAGAGUAGAAAUUACAAGAAAUUAAAGUGUUCCUAGGUCCACUUAUGUGCAUUUUUUUAUGGAGGGCAUGCAAUGCAACUAACAUAUACACUUUUAGAAAAUCAAUGGAGAGACUUCAAAAGGAAGUUGGAGAAGAAGUCAUGAAAUGUUUGCAGAUUUAGGAGAAUAGUCUAAGUGGAGUAAACACAAAUUUGAUCCAAAUGUGUGCAAUGACUCCAACGCUUCAAAAUUUGAGAGUUGUAACUCAACACUUGGUGCUGACAGGUGCAGAUAUGUAUUGACAUUACUUGAAGGAGACUUUCAAGUGAGUGAUUUUAUUUAGUUGUGGCG